rnacentral:lncRNA from 1 species
UGGAAAGCUUCGGUCCAUAAUCAGCUGGCUCCAAGGCAGAGUGGCACAUUCAGAGGGACGUUGCAGGGGAGAACAGUUCAUGGCACUCACAUGGUCACAAAAGCAACAAAAGAACCUUAACAGCUUCUACCCCUUUCAUCUUACCCAGACUACUGGGAUUAGAGUGGUGCCCAGCCAGUCACUGUUCCGAUUUAAUAAUCACACCCCCUAGAUUCAGCCACCUGUGAAAAAGCCACCUGUGACUGCAUGAGGUUUUGGGGGGACGUCCAGACCCAAACCAGAGCCACCACACAAGCAUAGCAGGUGGAAGGCCGUGGUCCACCCUUGGAGACUUCCCCCCCUCACAGCCUCCUGCUCAGUUUCUCAGGGAGGCUUGCAUCUUCUCUUAUGGGCGGAGCAGAGAUGCUGGUAGCAAGCAAUGUUCCCUUGCCUCUGGCAGGGACGGGGGCUGGGGCAGGGUGGUCAGGCCCCUCACUUCGAGCCAAGGGAGUUGCAGCUCAGAACUCUUUCAGCGUGGCAGCCCCUUGGCUGAUGUGGCUACUGGGCACAUACAACACAGUGGCUGAGAUGUACUGGAAACAAAUACAGUCAGUUUCAAAGAUUUAGCACCCCUGAAAGAUGUUAAUAUUUCACUGAUUAUGCCUUAAAAUACUUUGUAAUAAGUUUAACCCAAAUCAAUUUCAGCUGUUUUCAGCAUGGCUACUAGAAAAAUUCGAAGUUACAGGUGUAGCUCAUGACUUCAUUUACACUUUGCUGGGGUGGACUCCCACCUUUUUCAAAGCUCAGGCUGCCUCCUCAAAAAGAGGCGAGGAGUUUUGAAAAUCUGAAAUUUACAACCUGUUAUUUUAGGGAAGAGGGAGGACAGAAAGGGGAAGGGGAAGUAAAAAUUAAGAUGUGUUACAUACAGAAAUAAGCAACCUGAAAGGAAGAAAGGCUUAUUUUGGCUCACACCUUCAGAGGUUUCAGUCCAUGGUUUCAGCAGUUCCGUUCCAACCCCAGUGACAUGUGAUGUUUGCCACAGCGUUACAACAGUCCAGCUGAUAUAGACUAAGUGUACUGGGUAAUACCUGCUGUCUGGGGCCUGGGGUGAAGUGGGAGUGUGUACUGGAAGGCUGCUGGGAAGUAGAGGGGAGGGGGCAUGUGUCCUCCCCAGUGACAUCACUUUCUCCCACCUCGCCCCUCCUAGUUUCCACCACCUCUCAACAGCACCACUGGCUGGCAACCAGGCCUUUAAGCAUAUGAGCCUUUGGGGGACAAACACCGCUAAGUUUAAAGUUCAACAUGAAAUACCAUACGUUCAUUUUUAUAUCAUGCCAGGACUUGACAUUUUGCACCAGGGUGGCAGAAUCAAUGAAAAGACACUGUCCUUUUCCGUAAGACUUACUUUUAAAAACUUGAUCAUUUAAUAUGAAAAAUUCCAUCUAUAAACAGAAUAUCUUUUAAAAACACUGUAGAAU